UAGGCCCAAGAAAGAGGACAUCAAGCCAGAAACAGCCACAGCCUAUCUUUCCCAAUGCCUUUGGUUGGGGCGACCACGGAGAUAAAACAAACCCCCGCGUGGACCGAGAGACCUCUCUUAGAACUAAGAGCCACCCCUCCAAGCACCAGAACAUCUGACCACCAAUGACCCGGCCCUGCCGACAAACGAACCGAGUUACCCCAGGGAUAACAGCGCAAUCCCCUUCCAGAGCCCCUAUCGACAAGGGGGUUUACGACCUCGAUGUUGGAUCAGGAUGUCCUAAUGGUGCAGCCGCUAUUAAG
rnacentral:rRNA from 1 species